UACAGAGGGGGCAAGCGUUGUUCGGAAUUACUGGGCGUAAAGGGCGCGUAGGCGGCCUUCUAAGUCGAACGUGAAAUCCCCGGGCUCAACCCGGGAACUGCGUCCGAUACUGGAAGGCUUGAAUCCGGGAGAGGGAUGCGGAAUUCCAGGUGUAGCGGUGAAAUGCGUAGAUAUCUGGAGGAACACCGGUGGCGAAAGCGGCUCACUGGAUCUCUUCUGACGCUGAGGCACGAAAGCUAGGGUAGCGAACGGG
rnacentral:rRNA from 1 species